CAGUUUUGUGUCCUGUUUUAUAUCUCGGGUACAUUAGGUACAUAUUCUUACAAUAAAUAAAACUAAAAUGACCAAAAUAAACGAUUUGUGUAGUAAGAAUAUUCACGUGUAUUUUAUCAAUUAUACUAGAGCUAGUAUAGAUUGUCUUUGCGGGCUUCCGUACGUUGACCAAAGGGUUGACGCAUGUGAAGUUGUCAUAGCAACAGGAAACAAUAAACCGAAACCUCUGCAGCAACACAAGUGCUUUCUAAGAUUUUAACAAAACGUAACAUUUAAUAGCCUUCUGUGCAUUUUCACAUUUUAAACAUGACAACUCCACCCGACUCCUUGCUGAAGUAUGACACUCCGGUGUUAGUGAGCAAAAAAAAGAGUCGCCCUUUAAAAGUGAGUCCUCAACAGAUGUCAAUCAAUGCCCCUGUUCCACCUCCACCUAAACCAAAGAGUCCCUCAACGGAUGCCAGCCAACAGCAAACAGAAGAGAUCUUAAAUGCUAUUCUACCACCUAGGGAAUGGAUGGAGGACAACCAGUUAUGGGUGCAGCAGGUGUCCACCGCACCGUGCACACGGUCAGACGUCAUUCAUUUGAAAGAGCAGCUGCACAAAAAGCUAGAGCAGUACCAGGCCAAGGAGACGGGCAUAUGCUCCGUGCGCAGGGAUCUCUACUCUCAGUGCUUUGAUGAGUUAAUCAGACAGGUCACGAUUAACUGUGCCGAGCGGGGCCUUCUGCUGCUGCAAGUCAGAGAUGAGAUUCGCAUGACUAUUGCCGCCUAUCAAACACUGUAUGAGAGCAGCAUCGCAUUUGGCAUGAGGAAAGCUCUCCAGGGUGAGCAUGGAAAGCUGGAGAUGGAGAACAAGGUACACGCUUUGACGGACUUUGGAGUUGGAGAGCGAGAAGCGAGAUUUGGAGAGGCUGAUGAAUGAGCAGAAGGCUAAAUGCGAGGCCAUUGAGAGACGGGAAGCUGAGCGAAGGGAAAUCGAGGAAAAGAAGCACGCCGAAGAGGUGCAGUUCCUCAAAAAAGCCAAUCAGCAACUCAAGGCACAGCUGGAGAGUAUAAUUACUCUGAAGAACAAACCUUGAAUUAUUAUAACUGUUAAAUCGCACUAAAUCCCAAAUUGUUUUUCUCAACUGUUUAGUUUCAAUUAAUAAAAUACACAACAUUACAA